rnacentral:rRNA from 1 species
UGCCUACGGGAGGCAGCAGUGAGGAAUAUUGGUCAAUGGGCGGGAGCCUGAACCAGCCAAGCCGCGUGAGGGAAGAAGGUACAGCGUAUCGUAAACCUCUUUUGUCAGGGAACAAAGGCGGGGACUAGUCCCCGGAUGAGGGUACCUGAAGAAAAAGCAUCGGCUAACUCCGUGCCAGCAGCCGCGGUAAUACGGAGGAUGCGAGCGUUAUCCGGAUUUAUUGGGUUUAAAGGGUGCGUAGGCGGAGUGUCAAGUCAGCGGUAAAAUUUCGGGGCUCAACCCCGUCGUGCCGUUGAAACUGACAC